GGUGGCCUGCCAGGCCUGAGUGCUGAGCUGGAGGUGGAGAGUGAGGCCAGGCUUUUUCUGGGUCGGAGAACUGGAGUUUUGCCUGGAUUUUGGAAAGCCUGAUGGAAUCUAUCUAUCACCCAGACUGGAGUGCAGUGGUGCAAUCUCGGCUCACUGCAACCUCCGCCUCCCGAGUUCAAGUGAUCCUCCUGCUUCAGCCUCCUGAGUAGCUGGGAUUACAGGGACGGUGGUGUCUGCUGUUCUGGGAUUGAGAGAGAUGAAGCACAUGAAGCACUUACUCACCUCAGUGACUGGUGUGCGCAGCCACUCCCUGCAG